rnacentral:lncRNA from 10 species
UUUUUUUUAAUUAGCUGCAUAUUUUUAUCUGGGUCUCACAUCAUUUCACUGUGAUUUGGGGGUUGUGAUGGUUUAUUUUAUGUCAUCUUGACUGGGCUAAGGGAAGCCCACAUAGCUGAUGAAACAUUAUUUCUGGGCAUCCCUUAAUGUCUGUGCAGGUGUUUCUGGAAGAGAUCUGCAUUUGGGUUGGUGGACAGCGUAAAGCAGAUGGCCUUCACCAAUGCAGGUGGGCAUCACACAAUUCAUCGAGGGCCCAGAGAGAGCAAAACAGCAGAGGAAAGGCAGCUCACUAUGAGGCUAUCACAAAUCAAUGGAAGCACAUUUGGUGAAGAGUACAGGCCCAUCAGAGGAUACCACUGAAUCCAUGCUCCACAGCAGUUCCCAGCAAGCUGCACUCUUCGAAGGCGGGAUGCUGAAACCUCUGCCCCCACCCCCUACAUUAGCUUUAUAUCCAAAUGUGACUCGGAGGCUGGUGAGCUCAAGGUGAUCAAUGACAGCUCCAAUCAAAGCCACCCAGUAGACAGUGCACUCACCACUCCUUGAUAUAAAAGGUGUUUUAUUUCUCAUCCUUUUAUUUUUGUCACUGAAAGAAUGCUUCCCAUGUGUGGAUUAAUUAAAGUGUAAACAUUAAAUAUUGAUUGAUGCAUUAUCAGC